rnacentral:rRNA from 1 species
GACGAACGCUGGCGGCGUGCUUAACACAUGCAAGUCGAGCGGAAAGGCUCCUUCGGGGGUACUCGAGCGGCGAACGGGUGAGUAACACGUGAGUAAUCUGCCCUUGGCUUCGGGAUAGCCACCGGAAACGGUGAUUAAUACCGGAUACGACACAUCACUGCAUGGUGCGUGUGUGGAAAGUUUUUUCGGCCAGGGAUGUGCUCGCGGCCUAUCAGCUUGUUGGUGGGGUAAUGGCCUACCAAGGCUUCGACGGGUAGCCGGCCUGAGAGGGUGACCGGCCACACUGGGACUGAGACACGGCCCAGACUCCUACGGGAGGCAGCAGUGGGGAAUAUUGGACAAUGGGCGUAAGCCUGAUCCAGCAACGCCGCGUGAGGGAUGACGGCCUUCGGGUUGUAAACCUCUUUCAGCACAGACGAAGCGCAAGUGACGGUAUGUGCAGAAGAAGGACCGGCCAACUACGUGCCAGCAGCCGCGGUAAUACGUAGGGUCCGAGCGUUGUCCGGAAUUAUUGGGCGUAAAGGGCUCGUAGGCGGUUUGUCGCGUCGGGAGUGAAAACACCGGGCUUAACUCGGUGCUUGCUUUCGAUACGGGCAGACUAGAGGCAUUCAGGGGAGAACGGAAUUCCUGGUGUAGCGGUGAAAUGCGCAGAUAUCAGGAGGAACACCGGUGGCGAAGGCGGUUCUCUGGGAAUGUCCUGACGCUGAGGAGC